GGAUGUGAGGGCAAUCUGGCUGUGGCAUCUAUCACUACGUUGAUUGCCAGGGUUGACUUGGCUGAUCUAGCUGGCUAGGUGGGUGUCAUCUUCCUCCCUCACAGCUCUAUGUGCAUACCUCCAGAAGGUGUGCACUGGGUCAAAGAAGAUGACCACCCCCAAUAGAGGAGGACCAUUUCCUCGGUCAAAGGUGUACAAGUAUCUGGGCUCCCCUGUUAGAACCUUCAAACAAGCUCCCAAGGUCCAAGAAGUGUCCUCCCCCAAGAUUAUUGAGAACAAGCUGCAAAUCAUAACAGAGUUUAGAAAAUCUGAAAGAUAUCUU
ensembl:misc_RNA 7SK 7SK RNA